AUAGCCCAGGGAAACCUGGAUUAAUACCGGAUGAGACGGGACCAGCGAAGGCGGGACCCGGGAAAGGCGCUGCGGCGCGCCGGGGGAUGAGUCUGCGUCCCAUUAGCUAGACGGCGGGGUAACGGCCCACCGUGGCGACGAUGGGUAGCCGGCCUGAGAGGGUGGACGGCCACAUUGGAACUGAGACACGGUCCAGACUCCUACGGGAGGCAGCAGCUAAGAAUCUUCCGCAAUGGGCGAAAAGCCUGACGGAGCGAACCGCCGCGUGAACGAAGAAGGCCGUGAGGUUGUAAAGUUCUUUUCGGGAGGGGGAACAACCGUGGCAGGGAAUGGCCGCGGGAUGACGUGAAUCCCGGAAUAAGCCCCGGCUAACUACGUGCCAGCAGCUGC
rnacentral:rRNA from 1 species